GCGAAAUGCGAUAAGUAAUGUGAAUUGCAGAAUUCAGUGAAUCAUCGAAUCUUUGAACGCACAUUGCGCCCGCCAGUAUUCUGGCGGGCAUGCCUGUCCGAGCGUCAUUUCAACCCUCGAACCCCUCCGGGGGGUCGGCGUUGGGGAUCGGCCCUGCCU
rnacentral:rRNA from 1 species